UGUAUACACUGGUUGCAACAUGACAGACUAAAAACGUAUGCCCCUUUAUGUUUCUGACGCACUUCAUGCGCUUGUGCUACUUCCGACAACAGUACAAAUGGAUUCGGAACUUUUGUUUCGCAUUCAUUGUAGACUGCAAACUAUGUAGACACAGUGUUAGUAUGAAGAACAUUUUAAUAACCUAAAGAAUAAAGAACCUCAAUACAAAACCUUUAUUUUUAAGAGUGGAUGUUAGUUGCUACAGCCUGUGACAUAAAAAGCGAUGAUUUCAUCGGGCAAAUUUAAUGAUGAUGAACAAAAUUGUGUUUAUGAUAAAGCUGGAUCCCAAAGGUCUUGGAAUAACUAACAGUGAUGUCUACGUAAGGGCAAAGACCAUAGUGCUUUCAUGUCAAUGCCAAAUGUACUUCUUGUAGAGAUGAUCUGUCUGUUUGAAUAUUCACUGCAGAGCGACAACAGUGUCCGGGUAGGUUGAAUAACACCACUAGCAGUUUUCUACACUAUAGCUGUUGUGACAACACUGUUCUACAUGCUACAAACCAAUUAUAUAGCUUUAAAUUAAUAGAAUAUAGUAUUCCAUGUUGUUCAAUUGCACAGCGACUGCAAAGUUGAAGGAAAGCCCAAAGAGAGGAAAACUGGUAGCAAGCGUUCCUCCCGCAAACCCUCUCAUCCCCUCCAGGAAAUUCUUGUUUACAAUGUUCCGAUUAGCCUUUAGGGUCUUACACCCCCCUCCAUCUUCCAGAAUACCUUUUCACAGAACACUGUACACUCUGACCUCCAGCCAAUCAAAAAACCCUGUUCUACCCCCCUCGCAUAGCACAGUUGCUACAGCAAUGGUCAACAAUCAUUGCCCCCUCUCCAUUUGAAUUAGUAAUAGUCAAGUGUUUUUUGUUUUUCCCUCCUCUCUCCCUCUUACUCCUUUGCCCUCCCUUCUUCCCACUCUUCUCCUGCUGAAGUGAAAGAUUGAUUCAGGGGUUACUCAUAAGCCCGUGUGCAUUUAGGACUCUUAAACGCUGUAUGCCUUCACAAACCGACGCAUUGCUAAAGCACUGUCAAUGUUGGCCUGUACUGUUGUUUUUGUGGGUGUUAUUUUUCUUUUUUAUUUCUAUAUUUGACGUAUUAUAUAAUUAUAUUGUUAUUUUAUCUCAACCACUGCGGUUAACAUUAUUUUGUACAAGUGAUUUUUUCACAAUGUGAAAUUCAUGGCUAAAUAAAGACAAGAGUUUUUCCUCUUAAU